rnacentral:rRNA from 1 species
AUGCGCCGACAAUAUACGGGGCUAAGCACGGUACCGAAGCGGCGGACCCGCGCGCGAGCGCGGGUGGUAGGGGAGCUUUCCGUCCGGGGCGAAGCGAGGGGGCGACCCCCCGUGGACCGGCCGGAAGUGAGAAUGCUGGCAUGAGUAGCGAGAGGGGCGUGAGAAACGCCCCCGCCGUAAACCCAAGGUUUCCUGGGCAAGGCUAAUCCUCCCAGGGUCAGUCGGGUGCUAAGGCGAGGCCGGAAGGCGUAGCCGACGCGCAGCAGGCAGACAUUCCUGCACCCCCGACGCGGCGCCAUCACCGACGGGGUGACGGAGAAGGGUAGCUCAGCGGGGUUCUGGACGUCCCCGUGAGGCCACGUAGGCCGGGCGGCUGUGAAACGCGCCGCCCGCGAGGGCUGAGGUGGCUGACGAAGCGACUGGGUGAAGUGAGUGAGCCCAUGCUCCCGAGAAAAACCCCUAGGGAUGCCGCGCGGGGCCCGUACCGCAAACCGACACAGGUGGGUGGGUAGAACAUACCAAGGCGAUCGGGAGAACUAUGGUUAAGGAACUCGGCAAAACUGCCCCGCAACUUCGGGAGAAGGGGUGCCGCCGCCGGUGGAGGGGCUUGCCCCCCGAGCUGGUGGCGGCCACAGUGAAGAGGUCCAAGCGACUGUUUAUCAAAAACACAGGACUCUGCUGAAGUCGUAAGACGACGCAUAGGGUCUGACGCCUGCCCGGUGCCGGAAGGUCACGAGGAGCCGUCAGCGAGAGCGAAGCGGCGAAUCCAAGCCCCGGUAAACGGCGGCCGUAACUAUAACGGUCCUAAGGUAGCGAAAUUCCUUGUCGGGUAAGUUCCGACCUGCACGAAAGGCGUAACGAUUUGGACGCUGUCUCAACCAUAGACCCGGUGAAAUUGCACUAGUCGUGAAGAUGCGACUUACCCGCGGAAGGACGGGAAGACCCCGUGAACCUUUACUGCAGCUUGACAUUGGCUGCCGGUUCGUCGUGUAGAGGAUAGGUGGGAGACGCCGAACCAGGGACGCCAGUCCCUGGGGAGUCACCCUUGGAAUACCACCCUCGACGUUCUGGCAUCCUAACCCCGCGCCGUGAUCCGGGCGGGGGACCGUGUCAGGUGGGUAGUUUGACUGGGGCGGUCGCCUCCUAAAGAGUAACGGAGGCGCACAAAGGUCUGCUCAGCCUGGUCGGCAACCAGGCCGCUGAGUGCAAGAGCGCAAGCAGGCUCGACUGCGAGGCCCACGAGCCGAGCAGGGACGAAAGUCGGUUCUAGUGAUCCGGCGGCCCAGAGUGGAAUGGCCGUCGCUCAACGGAUAAAAGGUACUCCGGGGAUAACAGGCUGAUCUUCCCCAAGAGUCCACAUCGACGGGAAGGUUUGGCACCUCGAUGUCGGCUCAUCGCAUCCUGGGGCUGGAGCAGGUCCCAAGGGUAUGGCUGUUCGCCAUUUAAAGCGGUACGCGAGCUGGGUUCAGAACGUCGUGAGACAGUUUGGCCCCUAUCUGCUGUGAGCGCAUAGGAAUUUGAAAAGAUCUUCUUCUAGUACGAGAGGACCGAAGUGGAUGAACCUCUGGUGUAUCGGUUGUUAAGUAUAUUAGCAAUGCCGAGUAGCUAAGUUCAGAAUGGAUAACCACUGAAAGCAUCUAAGUGGGAAGCCAACUUUAAGAUAAGAUUCCUCUGCCUAGAGCAAUAAGUCCCCUUGGAGACUACAAGGUUGAUAGGUUGCAGGUGUAAGGAUAGUGAUAUUUUAAGCCGAGCAAUACUAAUAGGACGAAAGGAUUUUAA